GCAAUCGUACCCAAGUGGUUACGGGGUUGGACUAGAAAUCCAUUGGGCUCUGCCCGCGUAGGUUCAAAUCCUGCCGAUUGCG